GGCUUUCAAUUUUUAAUCAUCGGUUCAUGACUCAUCUAAGAAAUACAGAUUGGCUCUUUGAGUUUCAUGAAUCAGUUUUUCUUCUUUAGUCUCUACAUCUCCCCAUCUUUAAUAAAUUCAUCAUCGGUUCUUUUAUUUUGCCUGAUAAAUCAUGAUUGUGUGGUUUUUAUUUUCUUUGGUCAUCCUUAGCUUGCACCCUUUGAUCUAACCAAGAAGAAGUCAUUUGUCAUUCAAGAUGUCAUCGAGGACUCAGCUGAGUCACACGGGAGACAUACUAUCUGUUGCCUGAUUGUUCAAGAAGAGUAUAUGUGCUGUGAAACAUAUUUGUUUCUUUUCAUCAGUUGC
rnacentral:lncRNA from 1 species